rnacentral:ncRNA from 1 species
UCAAAGGUUUGGUCCUGACUUUACUAUCAACUGUAGCUAAAUUUACACAUGCAAGUAUCCGCACCCCCGUGAGAAUGUCCUGACAGUUCCCUGCUCGGGAACAAGGAGCUGGUAUCAGGCACAACCUACUAAAGCCCAUGACACCUUGUUCAAGCCACGCCCUCAAGGGUAUUCAGCAGUGAUCGACUUUAAGCCAUAAGUGAAAACUUGACUUAGUUAAGGCUAGAAGGGCCGGUAAAACUCGUGCCAGCCACCGCGGUUAGACGAGCGACCCAAGUUGAUAAACAUCGGCGUAAAGCGUGGUUAAGACCAAAUUAAGAACUAAAGCCGAACUACCUCAAUGCAGUUAUACGUGACCAUCGAGACCUAGAAGUACAAUUACGAAGGUGGCUUUAUAAAUCUGAACCCACGAAAGCUAAGGAACAAACUGGGAUUAGAUACCCCACUAUGCUUAGCCCUAAACAUUGACAGUUAACCACACCCACUGUCCGCCUGGAAAUUACGAGCAUUAGCUUAAAACUCAAAGGACUUGGCGGUGCUUUAGACCCACCUAGAGGAGCCUGUCCUAGAACCGAUAACCCCCGUUCAACCUCACCUUUCCUUGUUUCCCCCGCCUAUAUACCACCGUCGUCAGCUUACCUUGUGAAGGACUAAUAGUAAGCAAGAUUGGCACAGCCCAAAACGCCAGGUCGCGGUGUAGCGUAUGGAAAGGGAAGAGAUGGGCUACAUUCACUAUCACAGUGAACACGGAUGAUACACUGAAACGUGUAUACUGAAGGAGGAUUUAGCAGUAAGCAGGAAAUAGAGUGUCCCGCUGAAAUUGGCCCUGAAGCGCGCACAUACCGCCCGUCACUCUCCCCGAGCUCAGUGAACCUAAAAUUAAUUAAAACCACAUAGCUUGCAAUGAGGGGAGACAAGUCGUAACAUGGUAAGCGUACCGGAAGGUGCGCUUGGAAAAAC